GAUGAACGCUGGCGGCGUGCCUAAUACACGCAAGUCGAGCGAACAGACGAGGAGCUUGCUCCUCUGACGUUAGCGGCGGACGGGUGAGUAACACGUGGAUAACCUACCUAUAAGACUGGGAUAACUUCGGGAAACCGGAGCUAAUACCGGAUAAUAUAUUGAACCGCAUGGUUCAAUAGUGAAAGACGGUCUUGCUGUCACUUAUAGAUGGAUCCGCGCCGCAUUAGCUAGUUGGUAAGGUAACGGCUUACCAAGGCAACGAUGCGUAGCCGACCUGAGAGGGUGGUCGGCCACACUGGAACUGAGACACGGUCCAGACUCCUACGGGAGGGAGCAGGAGGGAAUCUUCCGCAAUGGGCGAAAGCCUGACGGAGCAACGCCGCGUGAGUGGAUAAGGGCUUCGGAUCGUAAAACUCUGUUAUUAGGGAAGAACAAAUGUGUAAGUAACUAUGCACGUCUUGACGGUACCUAAUCAGAAAGCCACGGCUAACUACGUG
rnacentral:rRNA from 1 species